UACGUAGGUGGCAAGCGUUGUCCGGAUUUACUGGGCGUAAAGGGGCGUGCAGGCGGUUUGUUAAGUGCAGAGUGAAAGCUCCCGGCUCAACUGGGAGAGGUCUUUGCAUACUGGCAAACUCGAGGGAGGCAGAGGAAAGUGGAAUUCCCGGUGUAGUGGGUGAUAUGCGUAGAUAUCGGGAGGAACACCUGUGGCGAAGGCGGCUCACUGGUCCGAUACUGACGCUGAGGUGCGAAAGCGUGGGGAGCAAACAGG
rnacentral:rRNA from 1 species